CAUUGUUUCAGGCCCAAACCUUUGCCCAAAUCACUCCAGACCCGAUCCCUUCGCCUCGUCUCCAAGAGACUACCAAACGACGUCGUUUUUGGCGUGCGUAAUCUCGGCCAUUCAUUCUUCUUGAUCGAACGACUGGGAACUAACUCUUCUUCCCCAUAUAACUGUACGAACCAAGUCCCUACCCCCAAAAGCCUCUCAGAACACCCUCUUCUCUCACCACUGUUUCUCUGUCCAACGCCGCCGCUGAAAAUCGCCCACGGCGGCGGCCGACUUCCAAACAUCCCAAAAUUUUCGACACGUGAUCUCCAUCUCCCUCUCUCUCUUAAUCUUCCAUUGGAUUUUUCUUAAGGUCCUCAUAGUUUCAUGAUUUUUAGAUCUAAGAACCAAACCAAAAAUCUAAUCCAUCCCCUUCUUGUUUUCUCCUAAAUCUCAGCUUGCUCGAGGUCGAAACGUGCACCAAUUAACCCUCCUUGUUGUGUAUUCCAAUUUGGUAUUAGUAUUCGAUCUGUUUCUAGGCCGUCGGAAUCUUUUGUAUCUGUCAAACUCCGUUGAACCUCAACGGGCUUUGUCCAAUGAAACACUUAUCGGACAUCAAGGGUCCAGAUCAAUGUUCAUUAGACAAAGAUCGUUACCGUUAAACAUUGAAACGCCGGUGUUUUGAAUCAUCUCCUUGGCUUUUGGGUCUUAUCGACUGUGGUCGGUUUGUUGGUUUGCAAUGGCGAGUCACAAAAACAAUCCAAGGUUCCUCAGAAAUAAAAAUAUCUUCUCAACUAAUGGAACAAGCACCACUGUUUGAUCCAAGGUCACGAAAAGGAAACUAGGCAAGUUGGUCGUGAAAAAUCAAAAAGGGAGGCAAAUGUUGGUUGACUUUACCAGGUUUAAGCAAUAGGAUAUGCGCUGCUCGGGAUGAUUUGAUGAUGGAGAGACAUGAAAAUCUUUCAAGUCCUUUGGGAAAUUAGUUGCUAUGAAAUCUCCCAUGUCGUCAGUCCUGAAAUCCGAUAGUCAAUAUUGGGAACGAUUUGAUCAAAAAGUCAAAAUUUGAGUGUUGAAUAAAAAGCAAUAAAAAAGACUGAAUGCCGUAGUAGUGCUGAUAUGCAAAUUUGUGGCUAAGAUGUCGCCUAGCAACUGGAAAGUCACUCCUCUUUUAGACAUAGAGGAGUCUUGGUAGCUUGUUUUGCCAUAUUUUCUGUUAUCUGGGUUAUCCAGGGCUGUAAACCCGAUUUCAGUUUAUUUGUCUUAUUGUCAAAUCCUUCCAUCCUUUAUUUAAUGAAAUACAGUUUGUCCCUUUGUGUUA